GGCCGAACUAUACAAAUAGGCUAACUUAACUCAGUGACUUAGCAGUUUUGUGGACUGAACUCGAUGAAGUGAACACCAAAGGACACCAAACAUCGAAGUGAAAACCAAACAAAGACCGGAACAUGGCACCAACCGUGCACAUAGAAUACUGCGGCGGAUGAGGGUACUCCUCCAGGUAUCGGGAACUAGCUGGACUGAUUAAAACGCAUGUCCCCGAUGCCAUUGUGUCCGGAAAAGUCGGACGCAGCUCAAGCUUUGAGGUCACUGUCAAUGACAUGUUGGUGUACUCCAAGCUGGAAUCCCACGCCUUCCCAGACAACAGCGAGGUAGUGGAGAUGGUGAAGAAGGCCAGCGCAGGAGGAGAGGUGCAGAAAGUCAAGAAGAAGAAGGACAGCUGCCUGAUCCAAUAGUGGAGACGUCCUGUCACGGGAAAGCAUUUUCUUAGAGUUCUGAUCCAGGGGUGGCUCUGUUAAUGACUGUGUGUACUGAAAGAAAGGGCCCACACAUGAUGGAGUCCCAGAAUCACUCCUGCUGAUGCGCUGUAAGAAAUGCAGUCCUUUUUGUGUUACAUUUCUUACUCUACUACUUUACAGUCAACUGAUAUUUCUACCUUUGUAUUGUUUUACACUCUUCCCUGUGUAUCUACAUCUAACAAGUCAGGCCUUUCAAUAGUAAAUUAACUAAUUAAUUCACACUGAAACAGUGAGCACAAUCAGAUUAAACGUGUUCAGCUAUAACUUUAGAAACAACAUUCAGAAUUCUUUCACCCAUCUAAUUUUUCUUACCCACUUUCAUUUUCACCAAAUUUUUGAAAAGCAGUCACAAUUUUCAGACCCAUCCGUGGACCAACUUCAGUUUGAUUCAGGGGAGGCCAGAAUAACACAUCUCCUCCAAAAGCAGGUGCUGUCAGGGCUUCACCACGCAGUCCGCUGGCUGAGCUGCGCAGUCACGGCAUCAGAUGUGCGUGCUUUCUACACGGCUUCUGCCCACAGACUGCAAGCACCUGCUCAAACUGAGGGGUUAAGAUGUUAUAAGACUGACAACCAAUAUCCUCCCUCAGCAACGCGAUGGGCAAUUAUGGGCCAGUCGGUUACCCACAGAAAUAGACCAUGGGGCGUUUCACUGUGCUUCCAGUACAGAACGUCAGACCACAGCUCAGAGACCAUGUUUUUAAUACUAUUUUUGUCUGCCUACUGGAGGCAGGGAGUGUAAUUCUGUAACAGUGAGAGUCUGUCAGGAGGAUGGGAGUGUAGGGGGAGCACUAGAAAUGAAAAUAUUUUGCGCUCAAAAAACAGAAUUAUUUGACACUGGAAUGAAAGGUACACCUUUACCACAUGGGUUCUGAUGUUUUUCCUUUAUGUCCCAAACAAUUUAAAUGAGACUUUUACUCUUUAUGAUCAAUCACAACCUGUUAUCUUUGACAGUAAGAAAUAAAAACUCAUUGUUUC